AGUGAACGCUGGCGGUAGGCCUAACACAUGCAAGUCGAACGGCAGCACAGUAAGAGCUUGCUCUUACGGGUGGCGAGUGGCGGACGGGUGAGGAAUACAUCGGAAUCUACUUUUUCGUGGGGGAUAACGUAGGGAAACUUACGCUAAUACCGCAUACGACCUACGGGUGAAAGCAGGGGAUCUUCGGACCUUGCGCGAUUGAAUGAGCCGAUGUCGGAUUAGCUAGUUGGCGGGGUAAAGGCCCACCAAGGCGACGAUCCGUAGCUGGUCUGAGAGGAUGAUCAGCCACACUGGAACUGAGACACGGUCCAGACUCCUACGGGAGGCAGCAGUGGGGAAUAUUGGACAAUGGGCGAAAGCCUGAUCCAGCCACACCGCGUGGGUGAAGAAGGCCUUCGGGUUGUAAAGCCCUUUUGUUGGGAAAGAAAAGCAGCAGGUUAAUCCCCCGAUGUUCUGACGGUACCCAAAGAAUAAGCACCGGCUAACUUCGUG
rnacentral:rRNA from 1 species